GGGGAGCUUGCUCCCCCGACGUUAGCGGCGGACGGGUGAGUAACACGUGGGUAACCUACCUAUAAGACUGGAAUAACUCCGGGAAACCGGGGCUAAUGCCGGAUAACAUGUUGGACCGCAUGGUCCUACAGUGAAAGACGGUCUUGCUGUCACUUAUAGAUGGACCCGCGCCGUAUUAGCUAGUUGGUAAGGUAACGGCUUACCAAGGCAACGAUACGUAGCCGACCUGAGAGGGUGAUCGGCCACACUGGAACUGAGACACGGUCCAGACUCCUACGGGAGGCAGCAGUAGGGAAUCUUCCGCAAUGGGCGAAAGCCUGACGGAGCAACGCCGCGUGAGUGAUGAAGGCCUUCGGGUCGUAAAACUCUGUUAUUAGGGAAGAACAAAUGUGUAAGUAACUAUGCACGUCUUGACGGUACCUAAUCAGAAAGCCACGGCUAACUACGUGCCAGCAGCCGCGGUAAUACGUAGGUGGCAAGCGUUAUCCGGAAUUAUUGGGCGUAAAGCGCGCGUAGGCGGUUUCUUAAGUCUGAUGUGAAAGCCCACGGCUCAACCGUGGAGGGUCAUUGGAAACUGGGAAACUUGAGUGCAGGAGAGGAAAGUGGAAUUCCAUGUGUAGCGGUGAAAUGCGCAGAGAUAUGGAGGAACACCAGUGGCGAAGGCGACUUUCUGGUCUGCAACUGACGCUGAUGUGCGAAAGCGUGGGGAUCAAACAGGAUUAGAU
rnacentral:rRNA from 1 species